rnacentral:rRNA from 1 species
CCCUAGUAACGGCGAGUGAAGCGGGAACAGCUCAAUUUUGGAAUCUCACUCUUUCAGAGUGCGAAUUGUAGUUUCUAGAGGCGCUUUCGGGGGUAGUCUGGGUUUAAGUCCGUUGGAACGCGGCAUCAAAGAGGGUGAGAAUCCCGUUUUUUGAUCCGGAACCUACUCCUAUGUGAUGCGUUUUCAAAGAGUCGGAUAGUUUGGGAAUGCUGUCCAAAAUGGGUGGUAAAUACCAUCUAAAGCUAAAUAAUGGCGAGAGACCGAUAGCGAACAAGUACCGUGAGGGAAAGAUGAAAAGAACUUUGAAAAGAGAGUUAAACAGUACGUGAAAUUGUCAAAAGGGAAACGCUUGGAACCAGUAUUGCAUUGCGGAAAUCAAUUGUCUACUAAGGCAGUGCACUUUCCGUUGUGCGGGUCAGCAUCAGUUUUCUUUGGAGUACAAAGCUGGACAACGUUGGCUUCGGUCUAGUUGCCAGUCAUGCUCUGGGGGAGACUGAGGACUGCAGCUCUGUAUUUGGGCCCUCUGUCGCCAUUCGAACGUUAUCUGCAGACAACUUGUUGAUUGCAGGUAAAAUUAGAUUGCACGGCGGACUCGGUCACAACUGAGCUUAGGAUGCUGACGAAAUGGUUUUAAACGACCCGUCUUGAAACACGGACCAAGGAGUCCAACACAUAUGCGAGUGUUUGAGUGGCAAACUCGAGCGCGUAAUGAAAGUAAAUGUAGGUGGGAUUCGUAAGAUGCACCAUCGACCGGUCUGGAUUCUUUUGAAAGAUCUGAGUAAGAGCAUAUUUGUUGGGACCCGAAAGAUGGUGAACUAUGCCUGAAUAGGGUGAAGCCAGAGGAAACUAUGGUGGAGGCUCGUAGCGGUUCUGACGUGCAAAUCGAUCGUCAAA